UUUGGUUAAGUUAGAAAGGGCGCACGGUGGAUGCCUUGACACUAGGAGUCGAUGAAGGACGGGACUAACGCCGAUAUGCUUCGGGGAGCUGUAAGUAAGCUUUGAUCCGAAGAUUUCCGAAUGGGGAAACCCACCAUACGUAAUGGUAUGGUAUCCUUAUCUGAAUACAUAGGGUAAGGAAGACAGACCCAGGGAACUGAAACAUCUAAGUACCUGGAGGAAGAGAAAGCAAAUGCGAUUUCCUGAGUAGCGGCGAGCGAAACGGAACAUAGCCCAAACCAAGAGGCUUGCCUCUUGGGGUUGUAGGACAUUCUAUACGGAGUUACAAAGGAACGAGGUAGACGAAGCGACCUGGAAAGGUCCGUCGUAGAGGGUAACAACCCCGUAGUCGAAACUUCGUUCUCUCUUGAAUGUAUCCUGAGUACGGCGGAACACGUGAAAUUCCGUCGGAAUCUGGGAGGACCAUCUCCCAAGGCUAAAUACUCCCUAGUGAUCGAUAGUGAACCAGUACCGUGAGGGAAAGGUGAAAAGCACCCCGGAAGGGGAGUGAAAGAGAUCCUGAAACCGUGUGCCUACAAAUAGUCAGAGCCCGUUAACGGGUGAUGGCGAGCCUUUUGUAGAAUGAACCGGCGAGUUACGAUCCCGUGCGAGGUUAAGCUGAAGAGGCGGAGCCGCAGCGAAAGCGAGUCUGAAUAGGGCGUUUAGUACGUGGUCGUAGACCCGAAACCAGGUGAUCUACCCAUGUCCAGGGUGAAGUUCAGGUAACACUGAAUGGAGGCCCGAACCCACGCACGUUGAAAAGUGCGGGGAUGAGGUGUGGGUAGCGGAGAAAUUCCAAUCGAACCUGGAGAUAGCUGGUUCUCCCCGAAAUAGCUUUAGGGCUAGCCUUAAGUGUAAGAGUCUUGGAGGUAGAGCACUGAUUGGACUAGGGGUCCUCAUCGGAUUACCGAAUUCAGUCAAACUCCGAAUGCCAAUGACUUAUCCUUAGGAGUCAGACUGCGAGUGAUAAGAUCCGUAGUCAAAAGGGAAACAGCCCAGACCGCCAGCUAAGGUCCCAAAGUGUGUAUUAAGUGGAAAAGGAUGUGGAGUUGCUUAGACAACUAGGAUGUUGGCUUAGAAGCAGCCACCAUUUAAAGAGUGCGUAAUAGCUCACUAGUCGAGUGACUCUGCGCCGAAAAUGUACCGGGGCUAAAUACACCACCGAAGCUGCGGAUUGAUACCAAUGGUAUCAGUGGUAGGGGAGCGUUCUAAGGACAGUGAAGUCAGACCGGAAGGACUGGUGGAGUGCUUAGAAGUGAGAAUGCCGGUAUGAGUAGCGAAAGACGGGUGAGAAUCCCGUCCACCGGAUUGCCUAAGGUUUCCUGAGGAAGGCUCGUCCGCUCAGGGUUAGUCAGGACCUAAGCCGAGGCCGACAGGCGUAGGCGAUGGACAACAGGUUGAUAUUCCUGUACCACCUCUUUAUCGUUUGAGCAAUGGAGGGACGCAGAAGGAUAGAAGAAGCGUGCGAUUGGUUGUGCACGUCCAAGCAGUUAGGCUGAUAAGUAGGCAAAUCCGCUUAUCGUGAAGGCUGAGCUGUGAUGGGGAAGCUCCUUAUGGAGCGAAGUCUUUGAUUCCCCGCUGCCAAGAAAAGCUUCUAGCGAGAUAAAAGGUGCCUGUACCGCAAACCGACACAGGUAGGCGAGGAGAGAAUCCUAAGGUGUGCGAGAGAACUCUGGUUAAGGAACUCGGCAAAAUGACCCCGUAACUUCGGGAGAAGGGGUGCUUUCUUAACGGAAAGCCGCAGUGAAUAGGCCCAAGCGACUGUUUAGCAAAAACACAGCUCUCUGCGAAGCCGUAAGGCGAAGUAUAGGGGGUGACACCUGCCCGGUGCUGGAAGGUUAAGGAGAGGGGUUAGCGUAAGCGAAGCUCUGAACUGAAGCCCCAGUAAACGGCGGCCGUAACUAUAACGGUCCUAAGGUAGCGAAAUUCCUUGUCGGGUAAGUUCCGACCCGCACGAAAGGUGUAACGAUUUGGGCACUGUCUCAACCAGAGACUCGGUGAAAUUAUAGUACCUGUGAAGAUGCAGGUUACCCGCGACAGGACGGAAAGACCCCGUGGAGCUUUACUGUAGCCUGAUAUUGAAUUUUGGUACAGUUUGUACAGGAUAGGCGGGAGCCUUUGAAACCGGAGCGCUAGCUUCGGUGGAGGCGCUGGUGGGAUACCGCCCUGACUGUAUUGAAAUUCUAACCUACGGGUCUUAUCGACCCGGGAGACAGUGUCAGGUGGGCAGUUUGACUGGGGCGGUCGCCUCCUAAAGUGUAACGGAGGCGCCCAAAGGUUCCCUCAGAAUGGUUGGAAAUCAUUCGUAGAGUGCAAAGGCAUAAGGGAGCUUGACUGCGAGACCUACAAGUCGAGCAGGGACGAAAGUCGGGCUUAGUGAUCCGGUGGUUCCGCAUGGAAGGGCCAUCGCUCAACGGAUAAAAGCUACCCCGGGGAUAACAGGCUUAUCUCCCCCAAGAGUCCACAUCGACGGGGAGGUUUGGCACCUCGAUGUCGGCUCAUCGCAUCCUGGGGCUGUAGUCGGUCCCAAGGGUUGGGCUGUUCGCCCAUUAAAGCGGUACGCGAGCUGGGUUCAGAACGUCGUGAGACAGUUCGGUCCCUAUCCGUCGUGGGCGUAGGAAAUUUGAGAGGAGCUGUCCUUAGUACGAGAGGACCGGGAUGGACGCACCGCUGGUGUACCAGUUGUUCUGCCAAGGGCAUAGCUGGGUAGCUAUGUGCGGAAGGGAUAAGUGCUGAAAGCAUCUAAGCAUGAAGCCCCCCUCAAGAUGAGAUUUCCCAUAGCGUAAGCUAGUAAGAUCCCUGAAAGAUGAUCAGGUUGAUAGGUUCGAGGUGGAAGCAUGGUGACAUGUGGAGCUGACGAAUACUAAUAGAUCGAGGACUUAACCAUAUAA
rnacentral:rRNA from 1 species